rnacentral:tRNA from 1 species
GCCAUCUUAGCUCAGCUGGUAGAGCAACGGUUUUGUAAACCGUAGGUCCCCGGUUCAAACCCGGGAGAUGGCU